GGGUCCAUAGCGUAGUGGUUAGCACAUCUGCUUUAAAUGCAGAAGGUUCUGGGUUCAUGCCCCAGGUGGAGCCA
rnacentral:tRNA from 1 species